rnacentral:ncRNA from 1 species
AAUAAGUUUGAUUCUUGCUUUUUAUUAAUUAUUUAAUUAAAUUAUAUGUUUUUUUUUUAAUAAUUUAAAUUAAUCAGUAAUAAGUUUUAUUUUUAAAUUUUAUUAUUUUAUAGUAAUUUAAUUUUAAUAGAUUAAUUUUGUGCCAGCAUUCGCGGUUAUACAAUUUAUUAGAAUUAAUAUUUUAAUAUUAGAAUUAUUUUUUUUUUGAUUAUUUAUUAAAUUUUAUUUAGGUGGAAUUUUUAAUUUUUUUAUAAUAGUCUUUUUAAUUUAUUUAUAAAUCUAUAUUAAAAACUAGGAUUAGAUACCCUAUUAUUUUAGACUUAAUUAUUUAUGAAAAUUAAUAAUUAUGUUCUAUUAAACUCAAAGAAUUUGGCGGUAAAUUUUAUUUUUAGAGGAAUCUGUUAUAUAAUUGAUAAACCACGAUAUUUUCUACCUUUUAUUAUAUUUAUAUACCUCUAUGGUUAUGGAAUGUUAUUUUAGUACAUUUUCUUUUAUUAAAUUAAUGCAAUUUAGGUCAAGGUGUAGUUUUUUUUAGGUUUUUAUGGAUUACUUAAAUUUUAUAUGUUUAGGAUUUUAUUUUUAAUGUUUAAAUGAAAUGGGAUUUAAUAGUAAUGUUAAUUAAUUAAUUAGUGUGAAUUUUAUUUAAAUUUAUGUACAUAUCGCCCGUCACUCCCUUUAAAAUGGGAUAAGUCGUAACAAAGUAGUUUUACCGGAAGGUGAGGCUAGAAGUAAA